rnacentral:rRNA from 1 species
UACGUAGGGGGCUAGCGUUGUCCGGAAUCAUUGGGCGUAAAGCGCGUGUAGGCGGCCCGGUAAGUCCGCUGUGAAAGUCGGGGGCUCAACCCUCGGAUGCCGGUGGAUACUGUCGGGCUUGAGUACGGAAGAGGCGAGUGGAAUUCCUGGUGUAGCGGUGAAAUGCGCAGAUAUCAGGAGGAACACCAAUUGCGAAGGCAGCUCGCUGGGACGUAACUGACGCUGAGACGCGAAAGCGUGGGGAGCAAACAGG